UGAACGCUCUGAAACCCACAGGAAGUGAGGUCACACUCUAGAACAGAGGUUCUCCAAGUGCGGGAAGAGUUUACACCCAAGGCAUGUAAUACUGGUACAAUUUGAGCUUUUUGUUGAAUGAAUAAUUCCCUGUCUUAGAUUUUUUCAAAUUAUCUUUUUUUUUAUUAGUGCUUAGUAUUCUUUUGCUUUCUAUUAAUAUUAGGGUUAUUUCUUAUUGGAAUUAUUUCCUUAUGCUUGCCAUGUUCCCAUUACAUUUCUGUAUUUUGUAAUUUUCUGGUUGAGAGAUGACAUUAGUUGUUGAUUUUUUGUGGAGUGCUUGCUGUUGUGAUCUGUAGUUUUGUGUGAUAUUCAAUAAAGUUAUUUUUAAAAGUGUGGGAAGAGUUUUGUGGCCCUCAAUAAAUCAAAACCAGCAGUAAAUUGUUAGGAAAAAAUACGUUUUGUUUCGUGGUUUCUGUCGAUACCUGCAGGAUAAAACAAUAAUUACACAUAGGUGUCAAAAGUACAGUGAAUUAAUUUCACCACUAGAGGGCAGACUACAUGUUCUAUGUCUCUGCCUAAGGAAGUGACGACGGCAGUCAAAAUGGAGUCAGAGCGGGAGAAUGGGCGGUUCCUUUGAGGAAAAACCAUUGAAAGGUGCUUUCAAGCUAAGUGGACAAAUGCUAACUUUGAUGUUCCUCAUGGAUAGAGUCAUGUGUCUGAUUUGCAAGCAGAUGUCUUGAUGAGACCCGGGCUGGCAGCCUCCGCACACCACAGCGGCUCUCUGUCUGUCGGCAUGUGGGAUGCAACGCAGCGACCUUUCAAACUUCAGAUAGCGAACUGCUGUCAGAUCUUCACGCUGCGAAAUCUCAUCACAGGACUACAUAUCUCCUCAUGUCAGGGUGGUGUGUCCCUCCUACCCUGGUGAUGACCUCGAAGCCUGGCUCCUCCUGCUGGUUGAUCUCCAGGCCAGGGAUGACCUCGCCCAGCAGUUCCACCAUCU